GUGCUCGCUUUGGCAGCACAUAUACUAAAAUUGGAACAAUACAGAGAAGAUUAGCAUGGCUCCUGCACAAAGAUGACACGCAAAUUUGUGAAGCGUUCCAUAUUUUU
rnacentral:snRNA from 1 species